rnacentral:snRNA from 1 species
CCUGUAGAUACAGAGAAGAUUAACAUGGCAUCUGCUAAAGGAUGGCAUGGGCAUGUAUGGAACUGUGUCACUUGUUU